rnacentral:rRNA from 1 species
UGAGUAACGCGUGGGAAUAUGCCCUUCUCUGCGGAAUAGCCACUGGAAACGGUGAGUAAUACCGCAUACGCCCUUCGGGGGAAAGAUUUAUCGGGGAAGGAUUAGCCCGCGUCUGAUUAGGUAGUUGGUGGGGUAAUGGCCUACCAAGCCUACGAUCAGUAGCUGGUUUUAGAGGAUGAUCAGCCACACUGGGACUGAGACACGGUCCAGACUCCUACGGGAGGCAGCAGUGGGGAAUUUUCCGCAAUGGGCGAAAGCCUGACGGAGCAAUACCGCGUGAGGGAAGACGGCCUAUGGGUUGUAAACCUCUUUUCUCAGGGAGGAAAUCAAUGACGUUACCUGAGGAAUAAGCAUCGGCUAACUCCGUGCCAGCAGCCGCGGUAAGACGGAGGAUGCAAGUGUUAUCCGGAAUCACUGGGCGUAAAGCGUCUGUAGGUGGCUUAACAAGUCAACUGUUAAAUCUUGAAGCUCAACUUCGAAAUCGCAGUCGAAACUGUUAGGCUAGAGUAUAGUAGGGGUAAAGGGAAUUUCCAGUGGAGCGGUGAAAUG